CAAACAUCCAACUCUAAAACAAAGCCCAUUUUACUAAAAAAAUUCUCCUUUGCCUUCCUCCCAGCGUGCUAGCGAAGAGAAGAGAAUCAUCGGACCCAAAUUACUCAAUGAAGGAACUCAACUAUUGGAGCGAAAUUGCACGAUCUGUCUCCCUUGCUCCCAGUGAAAAAACACAACGAAGGAGGCUUCAAACUCAGCAAAGGAUUCAACCCAUCUGCCUUCAGGUUACUCUUACUCGUUCACUCCAGCCCCUUCUUCCCGUCCCUUCAUCCGUGACCCCUAAAUGAGUACUCUCCCUUCAAGCCGUUCGAAAAAUUCCGGGUAAUGACAAGCUCCCUUCAAAAUUCAGGGCUACAAGAUCUAGGAAUUGAGGGAGACCAACGAAUCAGCUCGAUCCAAAUGGUUCAAUAAAAGCUAUCGAGAGUUAAGUUCGAUUUCUAGAUUAAGAAAGGAGAAAAGCCCAAUUUCACAAGCCCAGGAAGAAAUUGCAAAUCCGAUUCAAUUUGGAUUCAGUGGUUUAAGCUUCAAUUCUAGUUCGGUUCAGGGCCGGUUCAGUGGAAGCUUUAAAGGGUGAUUUUCUGCUCAAAGCAUUCUCGGCUCGGGUUUUCUCUUUGCACUGUGCGCGACUCUGCUCGCGUUUUCUCCCCCCAACACCCCCGAGUAUCCUUUCUUCUCCGAUCUGCUUCAAGCGGCGACGGCACAACGUUCCUUCCAGCGACUGCGAGUGAUGGCGAUGCCACGCUGACCGUGCUCAACUCACCAGAGGCGUUCUUUGGUGAGUCUCCUUCUUCCAUUUCUUCGUUAAUUCCCUGCUUGAGCAAUUCCGGAAGUAGGGUUCAAGGCAGUGGUGGUAGCAGCGAGCUCUGGUCAUCUCCAGCUCAUCGGAGGGGUUCUAUGAUGUUUCUUCACAUUUCGGCACCUUUUCUGAGGAUCUUUGCCUCCAGCGGGUUGCAAUGGCAGAGGAUUCCAAAGAGGGCGACGGCUGUGCAACUUCUUCUCUAGCGAGUUUCUUAUUCCAUCACUGAGCUCUGUGGAGGGUUUCUUCUAUAGACGGCGUUGCGAAAGCAGGAGUGUAUCCAGAGAUUUCAGUGUGUUUAGUCCUUUUCUGGCAGAAGCUUCACCAGUCGUUCCUUCUUCACAAUUCCGGCAGAAAUCACACAAGAAAAUCCAGCACUGUGUGCUGUGGAGCCCUUCUUCUGUGGAUUGUGUUGCAGAAGAACAAGACUUCUCCAUUUCAGUGAACAAUUCCAUUCCAAUCAAUUCUAGUCGGAUACGUCAUUGUUCGUGAUCAGCAGUUGGUCGUUUAUGAUGUUAUCCACCGGCUUUGGCAUUCCAGAUUUAGGUCCUUCGUAUGAUGGCGAAGGGUAGUCGACUCAGAGUGGAUCGUGAAAGAGGAAGUUUGGUUAACUUAGUUUAAAUCAUGUCGAUGUUUAUUAAUCAUGGUUGAAUGCUUGUAUUGAACUUGAUUUCUCAUGUUUGAAUUGUACGUAUCAUGCUUAAAUACUUUCAUGCACACAACUUGUUUGGUGAAUUAUUUCAACCAGUAGUUAAGUUUAAUUUGAUGCAUUUUACUUUCCUUCA